UCAAAGAGGUUCUCAGGUGGUCAAAGAGGUUCUCAGGUGGUCAAGGAGCUCUUCAGGUGGCCAAAGAGGAGCUUUUGGUGGCCCAGAAGGUUCUCAGGUGGUCAAAGUGGUGGUCAAGUGGUCAAGGAGGAGCUUUAGGUGGCCAAGGAGGUCCUCAGGUGGCCCAGGAGGAGCUUUAGGUGGCCCAGAAGGACCUUAGGUGGUCAAAGAGGUUCUCAGGUGGCCCAAGAGGUGGUCAGGUGGCCCAGGAGGUUCUCAGGUGGCCCAGGAGGAGCUUUAGGUUGCCCAGAAGGACCUUAGGUGGCCAAGGAGGUCCCCAGGUGGUCAAAGUGGUGGUCAAGUGGUCAAGGAGGAGCUUUAGGUGGCCAAGGAGGUCCUCAGGUGGCCCAGGAGGAGCUUUAGGUGGCCCAGAAGGACCUUAGGUGGUCAAAGAGGUUCUCAGGUGGCCCAAGAGGUGGUCAGGUGGCCCAGGAGGUUCUCAGGUGGCCC